AUGGCUAUCAACCGAGUAUAUUUUUUCAUUGCAAUUCUUUGUAUUGCUUUAGUUUUGCAUCCAGGUGGGGCAAGAAGAUAUGAAGAAAUUAUGAGUGAUGAUAUCACGACUGAUUGUUUUGACACACCAGAAUGUCCAUUAUCUAAUGAAAGUUGUUUACAGAGAUGUGAACGACGAGAAUCAGAAGUUCUAAGUAAGCAAAAGCGAAGAGCUGAUCAAAUUUGCUUUGGACAAUGA